rnacentral:rRNA from 1 species
AUUGAACGCUGGCGGCAGGCCUAACACAUGCAAGUCGAGCGGAGCGGCGGACGGGUGAGUAAUGCCUAGGAAUCUGCCUGGUAGUGGGGGAUAACGUCCGGAAACGGGCGCUAAUACCGCAUACUAUCAGAUGAGCCUAGGUCGGAUUAGCUAGGUGGUGGGGUAAAGGCCUACAAAGGCGACGAUCCGUAACUGGUCUGAGAGGAUGAUCAGAAACACUGGAACUGAGACACGGUCCAGCCUCCUACGGUAGGCAGCAGUGGGGAAUAUUGGAAAAUGGGCGAAAGCCUGAUCCAGCCAGGCCGCGUGUGUGAAGAAGGUCUUCGGAUUGUAAAGCACUUUAAGUUGGGAGGCGUUACCCGCAGAAGAAGCACCGGCUAACUCCGUGCCAGCAGCCGCGGUAAUAC